GACGAACGCUGGCGGCGUGCCUAAUACAUGCAAGUCGAACGCAGUGGGGACGGGUGAGUAACACGUGGGUAACCUCCCAUCAGAGGGGAUAACACUUGGAAACAGGUGCUAAACCGAUACUGAUGGAUGAACCCGCGGUGCAUUAGCUAGUUGGUGGGGUAACGGCUCCCCAGGGCCGCGAUGCAUAGCCGACCUGAGAGGGGGACCGGCCAAACUGGGACUGGAACACGGCCAGGAUUCCUACGGGAGGCAGCAGGAGGGAAUCUUCGGCAAUGGAGGAAAGCCUGACCGAGCAACGCCGCGUGAGUGAAGAAGGUUUUCGGAUCGAAAAACUCUGUUGUUAGAGAAGCGGUAUCGAACCAGAAAGCCACGGCUAACUACGUGCCAGCAGCCGCGGUAAUAC
rnacentral:rRNA from 1 species